rnacentral:tRNA from 1 species
CUGUGGCCAAGCGGUAAGGCUCUGGACUCUGACUCCAGUAUGCAUAGGUUCGAAUCCUAUCAG